GCCUGUGUGGCUCAGUCAGUUAAGCAUCUGAUUUUGGCUCAGGUUACGAUCUCACGGUUUGUGGGUUCAAGCCCCACAUAAGGGCU
rfam:Felis catus isolate Cinnamon breed Abyssinian chromosome A1, whole genome shotgun sequence.